rnacentral:rRNA from 1 species
GAAUCAACGCUGGCGGCGUGCCUAACACAUGCAAGUCGCACGAGAAAGGGACUUCGGUCCUGAGUACAGUGGCGCACGGGUGAGUAACACGUGAAUCAUCUACCUUCGAGUGGGGAAGUAAACUGAGAGAAAUCUUAGCUAAUACCGCAUAAUACCUACGGGUCAAAGCAGCAAUGCGCUUGAAGAGGAGUUCGCGGCAGAUUAGUUAGUUGGCAGGGUAAUGGCCUACCAAGACGAUGAUCUGUAUCCGGCCUGAGAGGGCGCACGGACACACUGGAACUGAAACACGGUCCAGACUCCUACGGGAGGGCAGCAGUGGGGAAUUUUGUCGCAAUGGGGGAAACCCGUGACGCAGCAACGCCGCGUGGAGGAUGAAAUCCCUUGGGAUGUAAACUCCUUUCGAUCGGGGAAGAUAAUGACGGUACCGAGAGAAGAAGCCCCCGGCUAG